rnacentral:rRNA from 1 species
UGAGGAAUAUUGGACAAUGGGCGCAAGCCUGAUCCAGCCAUGCCGCGUGCAGGAUGACGGUCCUAUGGAUUGUAAACUGCUUUUGUACAGGAAGAAACACUGGUUCGUGAACCCAGCUUGACGGUACUGUAAGAAUAAGGAUCGGCUAACUCCGUGC